GCAGUCAUGGCCGAGCGGUUAAGGCGACAGACUAGAAAUCUGUUUCCCUCUGGGAGCGCAGGUUCGAAUCCUGCUGACUGCG
rfam:Orchesella cincta Ocin01_Sc0267, whole genome shotgun sequence.